UACGUAGGUGGCAAGCGUUGUCCGGAUUUACUGGGCGUAAAGCGUGCGCAGGCGGUUCGUUAUGUCCGAUGUGAAAGCCCCGAGCCCAACUUGGGAAUGGCAUUGGAAACUGGCGGGCUGGAGUGUGGCAGAGGGGGGUGGAAUUCCACGUGUAGCAGUGAAAUGCGUAGAGAUGUGGAGGAACACCGAUGGCGAAGGCAGCCCCCUGGGCCAACACUGACGCUCAGGCACGAAAGCGUGGGGAGCAAACAGG
rnacentral:rRNA from 1 species